rfam:Mus musculus chromosome 6, GRC primary reference assembly.
UCCCCCUGGCCAUGGGUAAAGAGACACCUUGUUGGUAGUGGUGUUCUUAUAUUGGUCAGGGGCAGUGCAGAUGACAGUCUUUUGUGCAUCCUAACUUGAUGCCUGGACUGGCCAAAGCUGUCUUGUGCCUAGGACUCAUCA